rnacentral:rRNA from 1 species
GACAGAGGGUGCAAACGUUGUUCGGAAUUACUGGGCGUAAAGCGCGUGUAGGCUGCUCCGCAAGUCGGAUGUGAAAGCCCUGGGCUCAACCUAGGAAGUGCAUUCGAAACUUCGGAGCUGGAGUCCUGGAGAGGAAGGCGGAAUUCUCGGUGUAGAGGUGAAAUUCGUAGAUAUCGAGAGGAACACCGGUGGCGAAGGCGGCCUUCUGGACAGUGACUGACGCUGAGACGCGAAAGCCAGGGGAGCGAACGGG